CAGAAAAAAAUAUGUCAUUUGGAAAUAAACUGAGAACUUAGACUUUUUAAGAGAAAUAUAUAUUUUGAACCUUAUUUAGGGUAUAGGUAAUAGGAAUCUGAGAAUUCAGAUGACAAAAUUCAGAAUUAGUAACCAUGAUCUAGAAAUAGAGAGAGGUAGAUACAGGGGACUUCAGGCAAUGGAUAGAAUUUGUAAUCUUUGUAAAAAAGAAGUGGAAGAUGAACUCCAUGUUUUACUUAAAUGUUCAUCUUUGGAAAGAGAGAGUUUCCAUUAUUUCAAACAUUGUCAAAAGUUACAAAAACUUUCAUAAUUUAGAUUAUCAAUCACAAUUUAUUUGGCUAAUGUCCAAUGAAGAUAUUCACAUUUUUAAUCAAGUGAGCAAUUUAAUUUAUAAUUUAAAUAUUGCUCGAAAACAACUACUAGAAAGUAAGUAAAUUUAUAAAUUUUACUGUCAAAAAGACAGAGACAUAAUUUAGAUAUUUGUAAUUUUAGCUUCUUAUUGUAUAAUGAUAAAUCAUAAAAGCACCAGGUGAAAAACCAGAAUAUUUAAAUUCAGAUUCCUAUAUUUUUUAGGAUCACUGUAUUUGUCAAAGUUGAAACAUGAUACAUUGUUUUAUAAAUAUACUUUUCUCUUUAUUGUAAUCAUUGAUUUAAUUGUCUUCAAAUAAUUUUAAUCGUUUUUUAAUCAUUUGUACCAAAUUU
rnacentral:lncRNA from 1 species